rnacentral:rRNA from 1 species
CCCUUAGAUGUUCUGGGCUGCACGCGCGCUACACUGAUGCACUCAACGAGUUUACGACCUUGCCCGAUAGGGUUGGGUAAUCUUUUUAAAAUGCAUCGUGAUGGGGAUAGAUUAUUGCAAUUAUUAAUCUUCAACGAGGAAUUCCUAGUAAGCGCGAGUCAUCAGCUCGUGCUGAUUACGUCCCUGCCCUUUGUACACACCGCCCGUCGCUCCUACCGAUUGAGUGCUCAGGUGAAUAAUUCGGACUGCAGCAAUGUUUGGAUCCCGAACGUUGCAGCGGAAAGUUUAGUGAAUCUUAUCACUUAGAGGAAGGAGAAGUCGUAACA